UCUCCCCCCUCCUAAGCAUGAGACUGUUAAUUUUCUCUUUAUAUUUGUAUUUAAUUAAUUCCUGCAAAGGCUCUGACUAUAUUUUUUUGGUAUAAUUUCUUCCUUUGUCUCUCUCUCUCUCAUUGUUAAUCCUUGCAUAUUCAGUUUUUCCCCUCCCUUUUCUCCUAGAUUUGAAAUUCUAUUACCAUUUCAGAAGGCAGGCGUUUGAAGAGAAAAUUGAAUACCCGUCCAGUCUUGAUAAGAAGGGACAUUUGGUACUAACGGACUUGGUGUCUCCUGAGUCGUGUCCUGGCUCAAGACAACUGGAAAAAUGGAGCAACCACCUCCCCAGGGUCCCCUUGUUGCAGGGAGCACUUCCAGCGUCACCUUACCAGUUUGCAAGACAGGAGGAUGUGACCUGACCUGGUACCCACAGCCAGCAUCACGUCCGCAGCUCCCGGCUCUCCCUUCGGGUGGUGAGGAUGUGCCAGGGGAACGUGCAUGGAGAGCAGCAACAUCCAGG